rnacentral:lncRNA from 1 species
CCCGGGGUAUCAUAACACCUCACAGCGCCUCCUUUUUUGCAUUAAGCUCAAACCCUUACCCUAACAGAGAGAGACUCUCGGCUUUUCCCCAUAACGACAUCACGUUGCUGCAGUGCUGCACACUCCAUGAGAGGUGUCAGUCGAUUCCUCUGACUGCCAAAAAAGAAACGUGUCCGUGCACUGGUCACUUGGCUGUGGCACCAGACAUCAUGGCGUGACAACAUGUAUUCAUUUCUAUCGGGCUGUUAUUACGCAGGUGGACGCCUGCACGCAUGAGGAGUGGAAGUGAGCUGAACGGACACAGCGAGGAAGAUUUCCUGCCUGCAUUUGCUCUGUGGAAGGAGUGGACGGACCAAGCCAUGUAUGAAAACUAAUUGCUCGCAUGGGUACGCACACUAUUAGAGAAGAAAGAGAGGAAGAAACGGGCUAUCGGCGCAUGGGUGGGAUUCCUUCAUUGCGCUUCACACAGAGGGAAGUUACAGGAAAACAGGCGCUGUAGUGUUCAAGAAAACUGGUGCGGAGUUUGAUCGACCUUCGCGAUUUUUUUUUUUUUGACGGACUUGCAGCCUGAAACUGACGCCACAACCUUCAACCGUCAGAGGCUUUUAUUUUGGAAAGCGCGCAGACCCAUCGCAGCAGCCGGACUGCAGUUUUCUCCUCCGUCCUGACACCAGCACCAGCAGCAGCAGCAGCACUGCGAUUCAUAAGGAGCCUUACAGGGAAUUUAACCUACCCCAUUCUUCCUCUUCUAAACCCUUAACGCGGAGGUGGGGAGACUUGAUGCGUCGCGUAUUGACGCUUUAACCCCCUUUGAACGCGGCUCGGACGCUUCAAGCAAGCCCCCGGACUCUCCUCAGCUCUUUUUUUUUUGGAUUUUUCUUUUCUAUUUCGGAGGUGUGGGGGGGAUUUUCAGCUUCACGUUUUCUGCCUUUUACGUCUCAAUCGGAUCGUACUGGGAUUUAAGGUGGGGUUUGAUCAUAUCGUGAUGCAGGUAACUGGAAGAUAUCCCACUGUCUGUUGUUGAUGACACUUCAAUUCAGCGGCAGAUUGUCGCCCAUCACGUCCCUUGGAUUUUUUUUACAUUUAUCUUCAACAACACUAACCCCCCCACCAGAUCCAUGUAAUGAUACAGCUUUUCUUGCGCGUCAAUUUGGAAUAAAUGAACUCCGUCUGAGACUCGGCGUGAAUUUUAACCAGCGAGACACGCGCGUGGACGGCGGAAAUGAUGUGCAAUAGGAUCGAGCUGUCGGCAUCUGCUUUAUUAGUCCUACUUUUGGUAAGUCACUUGGUUGACUUGGUGCUGAAAUGUGCAAUGGACUUUGCCCUCCUGGCGCAUGUGUGGAUAAAUGCUGUGAUCUGUGAUGUGGCGCAUACAAUGUGCAAAAAUGAAGAAUAAUAGAUAGAUAGAUAGAUAGAUCAUAAUGCAGGCCUAUCUAUCUAUCUAUCUAUCUAUCUAUCUAUCUAUCUAUCUAUCUAUCUAUCUUGAUUCCUUCUGUCUUGCAUAAUGUGCAAAUCUUUGCUCUACUUUAAAGGCAGCCAUUCCCUCUAGUCUGCUGGAUAAUAUGAUAUCUGUCUAGCUGAGAUGUUUUCAGCCUUCUUGAGAUCUUCCCUCCUCACGUGGUGGAGGCACUUAUUGAUAGUGUUAGUGCUGUUAGAUGCAGUCUGAUGGGCCCUGAAAACAGCCCUGAUGACUGUAGCCGCCUCUGUGCCUCCUUUUACUGUUGCAAUGAAGACGCUCAGACGUAUGACACAUGGCUUAAAUUCCCAGGGACCAGAGGGAAGGAGUGCAUGUUGGAAAUGGCCCGGGCGUGUCUGCAUCAGCAUGAAGCAGACACCGAGGCUCUUCAUAAAUUAGCAGCAGCAGCAGCACUGAAAUCCUCCCAUCAGAUCGGUAGAUUGCUCUGAUUGCAGAGAGCGAGAGUGGACGUUUUUACUGUGGAGCCACAGAGCUUGAAUUAUGAAGGGAACUUGUUAGUGUCCCUGUGAGCGGAGUUUAAAAGCAUAUAUUGAGGUGAUUAUUUUGUUUUUUACGAGGAGCAGAGGCCUCAGCGGUGUUCCUGCACACUGUGCGUAUAUGUGUGUGUGUGUGUGUGUGUGUGGAAUAGAGGGGCAGCAGCACAUCAUCCUAUUUUAGACAAUCAGCUAAGCAGGUUUGGAGAUGAUAAAAGGGAUAGGGAAGCACUGAUGCAGCAUGAUAAUGAUCUCAUGGGCGCUGUGAGUGAACACUGGCAAUUAUGUGUUUUUUUUUUUAGCAGCUCUCAUCAGUUUCAGGUUAACUCAGAAAGCUCAGCCUCUUCUGAUUCAGCUCAGCAUUUGUAGGAAGUUUGUUGCACUCUACUCUCGGCGGCGCCCCGAGUCCAGAGAGGUCAGCGUCUGGCCUACAGAAAUAUGUGUCUAUCACUCAGAGGCCAACAGAUGAGGAGAAACAAGGGUGCAAGAUGCCUGUGUGGAGGUUGUAAGUCUAUUAGAUUAAGGUGGGGUUGGAUGUCAAUAUGCUUAAAGUGAAGUGAAGUGAACCUCUCUCAUAUAGCUCGGCUUUAUCCGCAUAAUACCUUUAGAAACAUCCCCAGGGGAAGGUGUAGGCACUGACCGGCCGUGUUGCUACAUCAGGGCGUGCAGUGAGUGCUGCUGCAGCUUCCAGUGCUGGAAGAAAACACAGAGUACCAGCUGCAUCUACAGUAUACACCCUUUUUACUCUGACUGAGCCCGAGGACUCUCUGUGCAUGUGCUCCUAAAACGCUGGAAGAGAUAGUACCACUUCCCUCGUCGCUGUCCGCUGAAAUCAUCCUGAAAGAUGAGAAAUGAAAGUUGUCACAAGGUCUUGGCUUUGGUCCACACUCUGACAGAUGCCUACAAUGUCCACGAGCAAGGAAAACAUACUGUAUACGUCACAUAUGAGCAUUCUGUUCUCCAAAAAUAAAAGCACAAGCAGCUAGCUCAGGGGCACGACUCACUGUUCCUGUGUAGUGGGAAUAAGAUGAACCCCGUGGUUUUGUCUGUGUGGGUAAAUUGAAAUUCUGUUCGAUUAAAGCUGUUCAUCUGGUAGAGUUCAACUUGGAAACAGAGGUUAACGAUGUAUUUCUUCGCAGAGCUGACACUCUUGAGCUUAAUUGGAUUUGAAAUCCUAGUUUUUAUGUUUUUAGAUGCCUUUUACGAGCCGCGUGUCGCAAGUGUUAACGAUCAGGUCUUUAGCUUGUCAGUGUGUUGCAGGAUGUUACAGCAGCAGCUUAGAGCACUCACUGUCAUGUGUUGGCUUAAUGAAAUCAGGCAGGAUAGUCAUUAUCAUUAUCAUGCAUUAUUGCCAACACUUCCGUGUUCAGCAAUGCUACUGCAGGCAGGAAGCCCACUGCAGAGCAAAUUCAUAUCUCAGCAGGUUAUGCAUGGAAUAAAGUGACAAUGGCACGUGUGCAGAGGUGUCUGCUUUCUAGGUUGCCAUUUACAGACUGUGGGGGGAGAUUAAUGGGCUCUCUCUUCCUUGCCAUUCUGUUGCAUUGUGUUACAGCAGCUGCUCACAAUGCCGGUGUCAUGUGUUUUGCAUUAUGAAAUCAGGACCAGAGGAGGGUUAUCAGCCAUCCCAGCAAUAGGAGAAUGAGGACAUGCACGAGCUAUUGAUCUGUAUUUUGAAGCAUAAAAGGCUCCAUAGCAGAUUGUAUGAACCUGGUUUUGUUCUCUAUUCAAGGCAUAUUAAAAUAGCUGUUUACUGUGAGUCAUGCUUGCACAUUGACAUUUGCAGAAUUUACACAUUUGCUCCAAAGACGACUGUUAUUUUAAGCAGCUCAAAGCUUAAUUUGAAGGUUCAGAACAGUGUGCAGUGGGUGACUUUCAGCAUGCAUGAUUUUCAGUCAGUUUGGAAGACAAUUACGUUCAAUAUUGGAGAAGCUUACAGCGAUGACUGCUGUUUUAAGGCGCAGAAAGAUGAGUCAGAUCUUUAAUUUAGAGAAAAAUACUUUGAUAAUUCUGAGGAGGGUCAUUACAGGCACUUCUGCACAACCGAGAAAAGAAUCAGAUAUUCCGAUGGCAUUAAGAUGCAAUGAACUAGACUGAUAAGCAGCAGUCUACAAGCCCAAACUUUAAUUUCUCGAAUUCUGGACUUUGCAUGCAGAGUGAAACCAGUCAAGUGUAAUUAAGUUGUUAUCAGUAGACAGGAUGAGCGAUGUCUUUCCCAAGGCAAGUCGAGUUAUUUAGCGCUCAAGACGCAUGAAAAACGUGGGGGAAGAGCGUAAUUACAAGUAGCCAAAAAGAUCAAAGGAGUAGCCACCAAUGCACUGAAGCAAUUUAACCACGGCUGUCCUAAGAAUCCAUUUUUCAAGUUAGCCGGUAAUAAAGCGUCAGGAAAAAAAGCAAAGGUGCACUCUGAGCGCUGAACACUGGAAGUAAAUAACACACAGGCCUCAAGAGGCAUAAAACACUUUCCAACUUUACUGCAUUAUGAAUUUCAAUGGGAGCGAAAGGUAAGAGCUCUAAAAUACUACACUAAAAGGUUACUGUGUUACUUAUAUGUGUGUACAGUAUAGAUGACCCUGUCUCUUAACUCAUCAGGAAGAAAGAAGAGAUAACUUGACUUUGUUCGAGGAGACGCAAAAUACUUUGGUGCGGCAAGUAGGGCAUAAUAUCCCCUCAAAGCAUGACGGUCUCGGGUUUGAUUGCAUUAAUGAGCUCACACUGUUCCUGUGCAUGAGAGUGAGUAAAUCAAACUAAUGUUAGAUUUCACUGUAGACUCUGAACCCUCGGUUUAAGGUGAAUGUGACUCCAUUAGCCUGUGUCAGACUCGUGUCCAGUUCCCGUUGCCGGUUUUAUAAUAGGAUUCACUGUCGCCCUCCAUUUUCAACACAGGACAAACAGUGCUGAAGAAAUAGUGGGAUGAACAACAUUAUAUUUGCCUUUAAGUGACUCUGUUUGCACAACAAAUGCUAUACAGUCAAUGAAUCACGCUUGCACACUCUUGUUUGCGAGUGUUUAGAAGAUUGAAAAGAGAUAAAUUGCCCAGAACUGCAUUAAAAGCAAAGCAGCAGCAAAUUCCCCCAAACCUUUGAAACAUUAAAGUGCAGGGAGCCAUUCGUAUUCUGACUCUGUAACCUUUGGAAGCACUGAUUGCUUCAUGGCUCCUUUUAUCUCAGAGGCUUUUCACCCCUCACACAUCUGAGCAGUACGUCUGAGUAAGGAAAAGCGUCAUUUAUUGUCACAGACUAUGAACAUGUGCCUGAGGCGUGCCCGUCAGCCGCAGCUAAGUCGCUGUUGUUUGUCUUGGACAAUGAUGGAUAAAACAGGUGAGCAUGGGAAGCGCCGGUGCUUACGGACUGACCUGCUCUGCGCCUCAUGAUGAGAGCCUCAUGUAAAAUGGAGCAACAGGGCGUGAGCAGAAUGUACAAUAGGGGCUGGGUGUAUUGAAGAGUCCUUUUUAGAGACUAGCUGUUCUUGCACAGAUCUGCAGGAGGUUAGAAAGCUAAUUCUCCCAGGGGCACGACACAGGUUGUGCUAUGAUAUUGAGCAUCCAGCUGUUGGUAAGCAGGAAUUACAAUCCUAACAUAUUCACCUUGUGUAGAUCGGCUAAAGUCCUUACGAAACUGGGAGCAACCCUAUCACCUGCUGCAGAUCAUUCGAAGUGUACUGGUGUGUUACAUUUCAGUAUACUCUUAUCCCCUCAGAUCUUCACUGCGGUAUCAGCCAGUCGCCUUUCUCUGUGUUGACACGGGUAAGAAAAUCGUUGGUGGCAUCUGUCUCCCUGAAGAGCGCCUGUUGUGCGGUCUCUCUGCGGCUGUGUCAGCCUCAAACCGCUGGCCCUGACACUGUAUGUCAGAGCUUUUAUACGGUCAUUUAAAUAAAGUGACGUGAUAUCAUUAUGUAAACAAGACACAACGGCUAAGUGCGGCGUUAUGGGGAAACUCACAGUGAUGUCUUAAACUGCAGCUUAUGGUCUUCUUGUGCUGUUUACUUGAAGGUGACAUUGAUUUAGAUCAUGCUUUCAGUAGCUGCAUCUGGUCAUAUUGAUCAAUAUCUUCUGCUAGAGCAGCAUUUCCUUUGGCUCUCCUGAGAAAGCCAAUUUAGAGAGAUACAAGCACUCAUAGCGAAUUUCAAACGCACAUGAACACUAUCUUUCCCACAGUGUCUUUAAAUAAUGCAUAAGAACGAUAUAUUAUUGUGCAGCGCUCACUACCACAGGUCCUACUAGUCCUUUUAAGGCCUCAUCUUUAAACUUAGAAGCCUCGGACAGAGUGUAGUGCAUUUAAUCCACUAUUCAUUCGUCACUGAGGCAUUAGGAAAAAGAUAAUGCCGCCAUGAAUUACUCCUACUGAACAUGCCACUGUGAUGAGAGAUCAUUUUGUCCUUGCAUAUUGAUUUGUUUGUCAGAAAGUCGUACGGCGGGCUUUUCAUCAGCCUGAGAUGUCUAACUCUGCUGCCUAUUAGAGGCUGGAAGACUGCUGAAGCAUUAACUAUUCCAGUGAAGUGAACGCUUAAGAGCCUCAACCUUCACAUUGUGUUUUCUCUGUUUGGUUGAACGCCUGGCUUUAAUAGAGAUGCAUGCAUAAUCUAGCACCCCAGAGCAAUAACAAAAGAGACUGCGGAUGAUAUUUUGUAGCUGACCAUAUUUUUAUCUCCGAGUGUGUCGGGAUGUUGUUCCAGGAAAGUUCUGCGAUCUGGAAGUGUUUCAGUGGAUACGCAUCAGUGUACCACACCAGUACGCCAUCUGGUCUAAUCAUUUUGAACACAGCAAAUCCAUCAUAGACUGUAUCCAAAAAGUGGACAAAGCUUCUCAGUGUCCAAAGUGUGGAAAAUGCAGGGGAAUGCCUUGAGCCUGUGGUCCGGGGGAACUCCAGUAGUUGCAAAAAUACCGACAAAUAAAUGCUUUCAUUCACACUUGGGGGUAAGAGUUCAUAUUUGAGCUGUAAGAUUUUAGUAUAGCAGCGAAUCAGCCCUUUCAAAGUAGUUUGCCCUGUGAUCCUGUAUGAGGGCACUCUCGUCGUAACCUGACUAUGCAUGCACUGGUGACCCUCAGGAAGUAAAUACAGUGAUAUUUUUCCAUAAAACUGGAGAACAUGUGUAAGCCAAACUGUCCUAAGCAGACAAUUACUACAUCAUCUGAAAAGUGCCAUCUAGUGUUAUGCAAAUACUCAAAAUCAGAUGUAUAUCAUAGCGCACUUAUUGUCUGUAAUGUACUAGAGGGUAUUUGAAUGUAUUUGAACACCAGGAUGUCAUGUUCUGGAUUAGUUCAAGCUUGAUUUUCAUAAAAAGUGACAGCCCUAACCUCUAAUCCUAACCAAGCUCGAGUGAAAUCAUCUACUCUCUUAAUUCGCUAGAAUCUAGACGCGUGAAUGAAGAGUAUUUACUCGCUUCAUUCGCACCUCAAUGGUGAAUUCACUGGUAAUCCCUGCCAAUUCAACCGGCGGGAUCAAGUGAUAGGCAAAGGUCUUUUACAAUUUACCAUGUAAUCCGACCUCUUCACUGACUUGCCUCAAGGCAAGCUCCUUUUUAUUCUGGUUUCAGUAAUUGAAAGAAAAGGUAGCGUAUAAAUUGGGGCACCCACACACCGACACGAUCAGUUUGUCCUCUAUUUUAGAUACCAGUGACCAACCGUCCAUUUUCAUACCUCACCUGGCAACCUUUGUGCUGAUUAGUUAUCGAAUGUCCACUCAAGUUGAGACAUUUUCAGCUCCUGCCCCAAUCUCGUCAUUUGCACUGCCAGAAUAGUAGGAGCUUCUAAUUGCGUCUUUACAUUGCCUAAACAUGUCAUCCAUUUGUGCGAAUUAUUGGUGUGUGGAGACAGUAAGAGCACUUAUUACUUCACUCCGAAUUUUUCUGCUGACUUAUUUUCCAAACCAACACUUUUCAGUCUUCUUCAACACAUCAUGAUGUUGAUUUGAGAGAUAGUCAUCUCAAGUUGUACAUAAACUUGACAUUCAAUCAAUAAACUGUAUACCUCAGGGUAUGGCUGAGUGGGAUUGACAAGUUGCUACCUUUUGAUGCUUUUUUAUGGGGGUUUUAAUCCUUUUUUUAUCCGUUAUUGGGCAGCACUUAAACUAGUAUGGAUGCUUGACUUGACUUGAAAUUAUAAGCCAAGUUCCCCAAAAUCAAGACAGCAACAGCUUAAAUGUCAAAAAUGUCAAACCAGGACUUCAGCAAAUGGGGUUCAGAAACCGGUAGAUGAUAUUUCAGUGGCUUAGUCCACUUUUCAAGACAGUCUAUCAUAUUAUCUCUUUGGCCUUAUGUAGAGUAAUGAAUUUUACAUCAAAACCUCUAGAUUUGGUGGCUGUUAUCGAUUCUUGAUGGUUAAAUGUAAAUUAUAAUUCCAUAGGACAGAUCGAAAAGAUAAUUGAGUACAAGUUGAUAUCUCUUUUCCUUAGCUCAAAGGUAAAUAGCCUUUAAAAUUAGGGGACACUUCUAUGGGCAUAUUUCUAUUUCUAUAAUGAGGGAAUCAAGUAACCCGUGUCAUUAACACUGCAUGACCUCUGUGAUCCACCAUCGUGCAGAAAAUUGUGGCCAUUAACUAAUCAGGCCAUGGUUAAUUUUGAGCUCUUUUCACCGCCUAAGAGUCACGAGGAACUGAAGUAGAUCCCUGCGGACUGAGUCCUUGUCAUUCAAUCCAUAAUCAAAAAACCACUGAACACCGAGGUGCCGAGUUUCUUGCUGUCAGAGCCCGCAAACAAACAAUGGUGGAAAAAUUCAAACGGCCUUGAUUAAAUCUCACCACCUAAUCUUUAAGUCUGUUAUUGCUGCCUCUCUGCUGCAUUCGUAUUAUUCUCCCUACUUGAUCAUCGCAAACAUGCACAGCUUCAGGGACCUGAAAGAAAACAGCAGCCACAGAAA